GCCCAGAUCGUCUAGUUGGUUAGGAUGAUACGUUGUGGCCGUGUUGACGGCGGUUCGAAUCCGCCUCUGGGCA